rnacentral:tRNA from 1 species
GUAUGUCUAGCUCAGUUGGUAGAGUGCAAGAUUUUUAACCUUAAGGUUGUGGGUUCAAGCUCCAUGGUGGACG